GAUAAACGCUGGCGGCGUGCAUAACACAUUCAAGUCGAACGGACUGAUUCGAAAGCUUGCUUUUGAUGAAAGUUAGUGGCGGACGGGUGAGUAACGCGUGAGCAACCUGCCUAUCUGAGCGGAAUAACGUCCGGAAACGGUCGCUAAUACCGCAUAACACAUAUCUGAUGCAUGUGAGAUAUGUCAAAGAUUUUAUCGCAGAUAGAUGGGCUCGCGUCUGAUUAGAUAGUUGGUGGGGUAACGGCCUACCAAGGCGACGAUCAGUAGCCGAACUGAGAGGUUGAUCGGCCACAUUGGGACUGAGACACGGCCCAGACUCCUACGGGAGGCAGCAGUGGGGAAUAUUGCGCAAUGGGGGAAACCCUGACGCAGCAACGCCGCGUGAAGGAUGAAGGUUUUCGGAUUGUAAACUUCUUUGACUAGGGACGAAUUUUGACGGUACCUAGAAAACAAGUCACGGCUAAACUACGUGCCAGCAGCCG
rnacentral:rRNA from 1 species